rnacentral:rRNA from 1 species
AUCGAACGCUGGCGGCAGGCCUAACACAUGCAAGUCGAGCGGAGCGGCGGACGGGUGAGUAAUGCCUAGGAAUCUGCCUGGGAGUGGGGGACAACGUCCGGAAACGGGCGCUAAUACCGCAUACUAGCAGAUGAGCCUAGGUGGGAUUAGCUAGUAGGUGGGGUAACGGCUCACCUAGGCGACGAUCCCUAGCUGGUCAGAGAGGGGGACCAGCCACACUGGAACUGAGACCCGGUCCAGACUCCUACGGUAGGCAGCAGUGGGGAAUAUUGCACACUGGGCGCAAGCCUGAUGCAGCCAUGCCGCGUGUGUGAAGAAGGCCUUCGGGUUGUAAAGCACUUUCAGCGGGGAGGCGUUACCCGCAGAAGAAGCACCGGCUAACUCCGUGCCAGCAGCCGCGGUAAUUC